GUGGUCUUGUUGUCAUCCAUCCCUCGAUUUGGAUGGAUGCAGGGAUUCACUUUCUCCCCAUGGAAACUUUGGCAGUUUACUACAUGUUUUUGCGCCUGCCUUUCACCCUUGGCUAGAAAAAAAAUAUAUCUUGUAUCAAAACUUGCUAAGGAAAAGACCGGCACCAACCACAUCUUUAUCCUACCGUAAAUCCAAGAAUAACGGUCACAU